rnacentral:tmRNA from 1 species
GGGGCCGAAGCGGCAUUCGACCGAGUCGGGAAUGCACAGUGUGGCGUGUCGAGGAGCGUGUUAGCCUCGUAAAAAGUACGCAACUUUAUAUCUGCCGAACCGCAGUACGCACUCGCAGCCUAAUACGGCUGUGGAUCACGGGCUUGAUGUCUGAUACGGCACGUGAUCACGAUUAUCAGGCUGGUCAACACUUGGCGCCUCUUGGGGUGUUGGCGAGGAGGUUUCGAGCGGCUGGACCAAAGCACAGGGCGUCAUCUCCCGGUGUGAGGUCGAGAUUAAACAGAUGACUACACACGUAGAAGCGCUGCGCGGACGACAUCGGGACGGGGGUUCGAUUCCCCCCGGCUCCAUUC